GGCGUCGUGGCGCAAUGGCUAGCGCAUAGAGCUUCUAAGAUAGUGUUAAUGAAUGGCCAAAUUCAUUAAAGGCAAAUCAACUCUAAGGCUGCGGGUUCGAGUCCCGCCGACGUCU
rnacentral:tRNA from 2 species